rnacentral:piRNA from 1 species
GUAUGGAUGAGGAAGUUGGCAUUU